GAUGAACGCUGGCGGCGUGCCUAACACAUGCAAGUCGAACGGUGAACAAGAGAAUGAGGCUUCGGCGGAAUGAUCUUGAUCAUAGUGGCGGACGGGUGAGUAACGCGUGGGGAACCUGCCCCGGACCGGGGGAUAGCAGCUGGAAACGGCUGGUAAUACCGCAUAAGCGCACGGGACCGCAUGAUCCUGUGUGAAAAACUCCGGUGGUCCGGGAUGGACCCGCGUCUGAUUAGCCAGUUGGUGAGGUAACGGCCCACCAAAGCGACGAUCAGUAGCCGGCCUGAGAGGGCGGACGGCCACAUUGGGACUGAGACACGGCCCAGACUCC
rnacentral:rRNA from 1 species